AGUAAUGCGUGACCAACCUCGCCCCAUGCUCCAGAAUAGCUCUUGGAAACGGGUGGUAAUGCUGGAUGCUCCAACUUGACGCAUGUCUUGUUGGGAAAGUGUUUAGUGGCAUGGGAUGGGGGUCGCGUCCUAUCAGCUUGUAGGCGGGGGUAAUGGCCCACCUAGGCUUCGACGGGUAGCCGGCCUGAGAGGGCGGACGGCCACAUUGGGACUGAGAUACGGCCCAGACUCCUACGGGAGGCAGCAGC
rnacentral:rRNA from 1 species